rnacentral:lncRNA from 1 species
GCUCUUCAGCGUUGUGGAUGAAGUGGCAGCGGGGCCCGUAGGGGCAAAAGCCGAUGGUGUGGAAGGGGCGGCACAGCUCCGUCUUGUAGCGGCUGGAGUUGACCUGGCCGCCCCCGGGCUGCUUCUGGGUGGGCAGCAGCCGCUCGCCCCCUUCCGAGAAGGAGCGGUCUCGGAAGCGGCUGUCUCGCGAGCUCAGAGCGGGGGCUGGCUCACCCUUGAGGCUGCUGAGGAGCUGGUUCUGGUGGAACUUGGAGCUGGGCAGGGUGACUGAGUGCCUCCGAGGGAAGCCCCCACCAGCAGGGGUGCCCACUGCCUUUCUGUCCAGCAGGCAACCCCCUGCACUGGGAGCACUAUAGUUGAGCAUCUUGUUACCCUGGAGAGAGAAGAGAAAGGAUGGUAAGGACAGAGGACAUCCACCAGGAUGUCCACUAUGGGCAGCCCCCUACACAAUCACAAACGCCCGCUCUUUCUCAAAGAACUCAUCUCUACCUCGGCUCUAGCAAGCUCCCUUCCCUCUCUCCCUCCCAUAGGCCAUUCACCUGGGUUUAUUUUGGCCCCAUGCGUAAGAAACCACAAGAUCCAAACUGUGUGACAAGCACCCUGCUCCAUGCUGACUCCUGCAAUGCAACCCCCAUGUCCUCUGUCCCCAAAGCUACCACUUUAAAGUUCAACUUUUUUACUAGUCAAAUAGAUUCUUCAACUCAAAAUAUCUCACACAACCCAGACCUCUCUAGAUUACCGCACCCCGCCCCCGCCACCGCCCGCGACAAAAACAGGUAAACCUCAGAAAGGAGUCUAUCAUAGGCUACGUUAGGUCCCCUUCCAAUCAGUCUCUGCUUAAUUGAUACCCCCUCCUUCAAGACCUGGCCUAAGACUCUCAACUUCCUCCUUCAGAAGUGUUCCCUUCCUUUGGCAACAGGUUUUCAGACUGCCUUUGCUUUUUCUUGUGGGGAGGAGAUUGGGGGCCUGGUCUGAGGUUGGGGGAGACAGGGAUGUGAUUCCUGAAAAUAAAACUCUUUGCCCUAAGUUCCCGGAAGAGAUAUUUUCUACAAUAAUCUCUCUCACCAUUUCCACUCAGCCCUAGCCCACCCCGCCCCCUUCACUGAGAAGAUGCCUUUGCAAUUAGUCUUUUGGCUGCAAGAGCAAGCUUGGAUAAGAGCUCCAGUGUUUAAUCUUUAACGCAAAGCUGCAGAUGGAAAGGAAAAGGAAAGCACCAACCCCCCUACCCACCUCCUAGUCAAUAGCGGAUUGGGGGUGGUGGGGAUGGGGGCAGAGCCACCAAUGGCAGGUUUCUGUUCCAAUAGGACCCUGGUCACCUGCCCAAAUUGUACCCAAGAUUUGGAAAUGGUGCAGGUCAGGGACCUAGGAGUUAGUUCCCAGCCCAUGUGGGUGUCAUUGUGCAAAUUCUAAUGUUGGUCCCUUAGGAUCAGCAGGGGGGGACCGGGAAUCUGUAACUGCAACCACCCCACCGAGAGGAUUACAGGAACCCAGUCGAGAGCUGGUUCCCAACAAUGAGGUUCAUUUAAAAAGUCGUGAGGGGGGAGGGGGGCCAAAGAAAGAAAUAGAUCAAAGAGCGGGAGAGUCGAGAAAAGAAGGAAGAAAUGUUGGGGAGCGCUGGCAGCCGGGCUGGCAAGUGGAGUUUGGGAAUGUGCAGGGAGGGAAGGAAGCUGAAAAAUUCAAACUUUUUAAAUGCUACUCUUCAGCUCCUCGGCGUCCCUGCACCCCAACCCUGCAGCCCUGGGGCGUUGGCAGCUGCACCAACAGGAGCAGCAAGCUGGGAAAACAGAGCAACAUGACCCGACGUGUUAAGAGAAGGCAAAACACUUCAGCAAUUAAAAAGUAGCCCAGCAGCUUCACCCUUUCAAAUUGGGAGGGGGAGGUUGGAAAGAAAUUUAACAACAUCCAUAGACUUUUGCUAUGUACAUUUAAACCGCAGUCCUGGAACAUUCCGAGUUUAAAACUUGCUUUUUCAACACUGGCUGACAAGCAACAUGUUUUAAGGAGCCCCCCAUUAAAUCCUUACUCGCGGGACUCUCGAGUUCAAGCCAGCAUUUUGUCGCCACCUCCCCCCCCAACCCCGCCCGCAAUCGAUGAGCCGCAAUGCCUCGGCAACACAGGUAAGCGGGUCAACCUGAAUGCCUCUUUCACCCCAAAGUUUGCUGCACGAUCGGCUAUCGCGGGAAGAAGCCCAACGGAGCUAGGGCGGACUCAAGCCCCACUGCAAACUUGUUCUGCAACAUCUUUUUGAAUCACAACUUGGCCUUUCUUCCUCGCAUAUCCCCAGCUCCCCCCAAAGAGUGGAGGAAAACAUUGUCCCGAGACUCACUUCCCCGAGGGACCUCCCACUCCCAACCCCACGGGUGGGUAAUGCCGCUGGACAGACCUAGGGCGCAGACUGGGAACCCGAUCAGACCAGCAAACCUGGGAUCCAGCAGCACGUUACGUAAAACAGGAUCGCCCAAAACUUGUCCCAAUCCCAGCCCUCCCCCCGAAGCCCCCGGGCUGCCCUGCCAGGCAAACUUCGCCCCUCAAAACCCUGGCCUCCAGAUUCACAUGUAAUCCCCGCCAGCAACUGUUGAAACUCAAAGGGUGGGAAGGACGGGGCCAAAUUCCUUCAAACUUGGGAGAAAUGCCGGAGGAGAAAAGAAUCAUCUCGCUGCACCACUUUCCCCAUUGCCUUCCAAGACCCAAACUUUUGGGGGUUCUUUCUUAAGGCAAAAGAAAAAGACUUUUUGAAAAGCAAAUGCUCCGCCCCCCUUUACCUUGCAUAAAACU